AUUGAACGCUGGCGGCAGGCCUAACACAUGCAAGUCGAACGAGUGGCGGACGGGUGAGUAAUGUCUGGGAAACUGCCUGAUGGAGGGGGAUAACUACUGGAAACGGUAGCUAAUACCGCAUACCAUCAGAUGUGCCCAGAUGGGAUUAGCUAGUUGGUGGGGUAACGGCUCACCAAGGCGACGAUCCCUAGCUGGUCUGAGAGGAUGACCAGCCACACGGGAACUGAGACACGGUCCAGACUCCUACGGGAGGUGGCAGGGGGGAAUAUGGCACAAGGGGCGCAAGCCUGAUGCAGCCAGGCCGCGUGAAUGAAGAAGGCCUUCGGGUUGUAAAGUACUUUCAGCGGGGAGGCGUGACCCGCAGAAGAAGAACCGGUGAACUCCGUGCCAGCAGCCGCGGUAAUUC
rnacentral:rRNA from 1 species